GACGAACGCUGGCGGCGUGCCUAAUACAUGCAAGUCGAACGAGAGCGACCGGUGCUUGCACUGGUCAAUCUAGUGGCGAACGGGUGAGUAACACGUGGGUAACCUGCCCAUCAGAGGGGGAUAACAUCCGGAAACGGAUGCUAAAACCGCAUAGGUCUUCGAGCCGCAUGGCUUGAAGAGGAAAAGAGGCGCAAGCUUCUGCUGAUGGAUGGACCCGCGGUGCAUUAGCUAGUUGGUGAGGUAACGGCUCACCAAGGCCGUGAUGCAUAGCCGACCUGAGAGGGUGAUCGGCCACAUUGGGACUGAGACGCGGCCCAAACUCCUACGGGAGGCAGCAGUAGGGAAUCUUCCGCAAAGGACGCAAGUCUGACGGAGUAACGCCGCGUGAGUGAAGAAGGUUUUCGGAUCGUAAAACUCUGUUGUUAGAGAAGAACAAGUGCUAGAGUAACUGUUAGCGCCUUGACGGUAUCUAACCAGAAAGCCACGGCUAACUACGUG
rnacentral:rRNA from 1 species